CGGCGUAGCCUAAUACAUGCAAGUCGAACGAGGUAGCAAUACCGAGUGGCGAACGGGUGAGUAACACGUAGGUAACCUGCCCUUAAGCUUGGGAUACCCAGAGGAAACUUUGGCUAAUACCGGAUAACAACAGAGAAGGCAUCUUCUUUGCUUGAAAGGCCCCUUCAAGGGUCACUUAAGGAUGGACCUGCGGCGCAUUAGCUAGUUGGUGAGAUAACAGCCCACCAAGGCGAGGAUGCGUAGCCGAACUGAGAGGUUGAUCGGCCACAUUGGAACUGAGACACGGUCCAAACUCCUACGGGAGGCAGCAGUAAGGAGUUUUCGGCAAUGGGGGAAACCCUGACCGAGCAACGCCGCGUGAGCGAUGACGGCCCUAAUGGGUUGUAAAGCUCUGUUGUAAGCCAUGAAUGAUAGCUUGAGGAAAUGCAAGUUAUUUGACGACAGCUUACCAGAAAGCCACGGCUAACUACGUGCCAGCCGCCGC
rnacentral:rRNA from 1 species